rnacentral:lncRNA from 1 species
CCUUCCGUGAAAGUGACCCGGGAUCUCGUGCCAGCCAGCAAAAUCAGAAACCAAAAUGGGCGAAGAGAAUGAAGACUUCGUUUAGGAGGAUGCUGUCCCCCAAGGGCAGGGGCAAGCCAGCCAGCAUCAGCAGAGAGGGCUCCACUCUCCAUGGGAAAGCCCUGGGUCCCAACGCACAAGGCCUUCUUCCUAGGAUUGUCAGGGAGCUUACUUCUACCAAGUUGUUUACCAAACCAAGAGUGGGAGAGCGCGCACAGAAUGCAACUAUACAACUUGAUGUUGUAGAAGCCGAGACAGAGGAAAUAACCCAAGGAAAUACGCUCCUUCGGGCCAAGAGAACCACCAAGCGCUUAUCUGUAAUAUCUCUUCCUUCAGGGAUGCAAAAGGUACCAUAUUCACCAAAGAAAAGACUACACUUUCCAACUCUUAAAAAAAAGAAACGUGAAAUUCUGACAAUAGAAGACCUUCAGAUGCAGGUAGUGGACAAAGGCUUUUACUUUCUGUGUGUGAAGCAUCAGAGGACCCAACCUAACUAAACACAUAGCCCUCCCAGACAGCUUGAAUAUAAUUAACAAUUAGCAAUAAGAAAUAAUGUUAGCAGGGCAGGGGGCAUUCUGAGAGUGGCCAAAGGGUUGCUAAGGGCACCUCGAUGGUGCUCUGUGCCCCAUAAAUAUUAAGUGAAUUCCAUUAAAAUGAAGGUAUACAUGUAGACUUCUUAGAAGAAAAGAGAUCAUCUUUACCACCAGGGGGUAAAUGUUAUGUUUUAAAGCUCUGUUUGCUAUGUCUUGAAUUAGAAUAACACUUAGGGGCUUGAAAACAUCAGACAUCUAUCUCUUUGGUUUUGACAAGUGUUUCCAACACGUGGUUUCAUCUGUCACAGGCGGAUGACCUCAAAGAAAUAUUGUUGGAUAAAUCCAUGAAACUGUUGGCCCAAAGACAUGCUGAGCUUCAACGGUGUGAGCUUCUAGGAGAUAAAAUGCUUCAGUCUUCUAAGCAGUUCCAGAAGAUAUCCAAGAGAACCAUGUGGAAGUAUAAACUGAAAAAUAUGUGUUGCCCAUGUACCUGCUGCUUCUGAUUUUGUUUCUGACUAGAUAAGAGCUAACUAACUAGAAC